GCAAAGCCAACUGGGGACCCCAGCUGAUUCUGCUGCUUCUUCCACUAAACACAUCCAUAAUAUUCUCUUUGGUAAUACUGCAGAUUUCCAAAUGUGCCAAAACAGCUAAGCAAAAAGCAUCAUUCCAACACGUUUAAUGACUGCUUUGGGAGCCCAACUUUAACAGUGAGACAGGCACAAAAGCAGUAGAGCUGUCCCACGUGGAAUGGGCUAUCUCGUGACACUGUGACCCCCUUUCUUUCACCCUGGGUCUUCAAAAAGAGAAUGGAUGACACUAUGAUGAGGAGGGGUCUCUAUAUUGGUGACAGGCCAAAAUACAGGACUACCUACAGUCCUUUCGCAGUCCAUAAUCCUCAAGUCCCUCAGCUCUUCCAUGUACCACCUUCUAGACUACACUUAAAAUGCAUCCUGAACGUUUGUAAAGUACCCUGAAGGAACCCAUUCCAGUUCUGAAUCCGAUUACUAGGUUCAAGCCACACAAAUAACAACAGUGCAGCUAGUCUGAGCUAGAGGCUUCUUUACCUAACUGCAAAGUAAAUGUCCUUUCUAUUCAGCCGCAUCUAGCUCUUGACCCUAUGUUUACCAUAGAUACCAGUUCUUCUCACUUAGAUUCUCUGACUUAUCAGAGUAUUAUAGAGCAAACAUUAGCUAUGCCUGUGACUUGAGUUGUGUCAAUCUGUAAUGAAAAUGUGCCAGCUUUAUCAUCACUCACAGACUUCUUAAUUAACCUUCUGAUAUUGUCAAAAUCGCACUCUCUUUUGUUCUAGAAAUGAGCAUUUACAUGUGCAUUUUUUUUCCUUCAUUGCUUUUUUACUGGCUGUUUUACCAAAUCCUGAUGUUCUUUAAAAAGUGUAUUCUGCAAAAACAAAAGAAAGCAAUAAUUAUAGACACUACAAUAUAGAAUUUCUUCCCUGAAACUCUCUCAUGGUCCUUAGAUUCCUUGAUACUUCACCAGUGACUUUAAUAACAUCAAUCACUCAUUUUAAAACUCUUUUUUGAUCAAUGCUAUCCUCUUAGAGCCUUGAUUACUCAAACAACAGGUUACUAACUUCACCUUUUAAGAGUUCUCCUCCUAGGCUUUUUCUCAAUAAAGGGAGGAAGUAGAGAUGACAUUUUGCGUGCCCCUUUAUCUAUAAAAAUGCCAGCCACCAAUCUGUCAGGCCUAAACAAAAUUUUUCUGCAAGCUGUGUCUUUAACAUAAGCAAAGCAUAUAAUUCCAAAAAAAAAAAAUCUUGCUUUUCUGAAAAGCAACUAAGCCAAAGACAUUGUGUUCCAUCUUUGUGUUGAAAUGCAGAUUUCCCACUAAAAGGCAAAUCCUUCAUUUCAAAAGGUUGAAUAGGAUGGUACUUAAAAAAAGAAUUCCAGCUGGUUAAAUUUAGGGUGUUAAAAAAAGUUCACUCCAAUAAUAUUCUUUGGCUCUGGGCCCAAAGUAUUUUCACUU
rnacentral:lncRNA from 1 species